rnacentral:misc_RNA from 1 species
UCAAAACAGCGGACUUCGGUCCUUGCUGCACCCUUGUCUUUUGCUGCACCGUAAUUGUUUCCUCGGCGGGCUUGCCUGCCGGUUGGACAUUAUCAAAACCUUUUUGUAGUUGCAAUCAGCGUCAGAAAAAUCAUAAUUAUUA